rnacentral:lncRNA from 1 species
GUGUCCUCUUCCUUGGUGUGAAAGUUUACAUUCGAGAUAAGAUCUCCUCCUUCUCUUGCUGCCUUCUAAAGGAUUGGCGCAACAGACUUCAUCCAUAUUCUCUGUAGAGCUUGGCGUGCAUGCGAAGUAGAGGGUCUGUACGUUCAGACCUUGCGAGGCAUUGGAUUUGAAUUUUCUUGAGGAUUUUGAUCCCUAUUCCACUGCAUAUCAGGUAAGCAUAAAAUUUAUAUUAGCUUAUUCUAGAAAAAUUUUUCAAAUAACACCCAGACAAUCUGAUC